rnacentral:rRNA from 1 species
UGGGGAAUAUUGGACAAUGGGGGAAACCCUGAUCCAGCAAUGCCGCGUGUGUGAAGAAGGCCUGCGGGUUGUAAAGCACUUUCGGUGGGAAAGAAAAGCGUAGGGUGAAUACCCCUGCGUCUUGACGUUACCCACAGAAGAAGCACCGGCUAACUCCGUGCCAGCAGCCGCGGUAAUACGGAGGGUGCGAGCGUUAAUCGGAAUCACUGGGCGUAAAGCGCACGUAGGCGGUCGAGUCAGUCUGCUGUGAAAGCCCUGGGCUUAACCUGGGAACGGCAGUGGAUACUGCUUGACUAGAGUGUGAGAGAGGGGGGUGGAAUUCCAGGUGUAGCGGUGAAAUGCGUAGAGAUCUGGAGGAACACCGGUGGCGAAGGCGGCCCCCUGGUUCAACACUGACGCUGAGGUGCGAAAGCGUGGGGAGCAAACAG